AUUAAGUCGAACCGCUUUCCCAACAUAACGUCUGGCUUUGAGAAGGAAAAAGCAGCUCUGAAAGUGAGAAAAGCAAGUUGCCCCAAUGUUGCUGUAAUUGCGCAUCGGGCUUCUCGGGCGGAGGAAGCACCUACCCUCUGCCCUACCUCCCAGGCUUUAAAGAUUAAAGGUCAUGAAGUGUUUCUCGCCCUGGAGCCCACCAGCGAGAAAGAACCCACAGACCACUAGACACAUGGAUGCAGCGCUCUGAGUGCCUAAGGAGGAUGAGUACACUGCAAACCCCUUGGGAGCUGGAGCCCAGCCCAAGGGGUGGAGGAAGCAGAGACCACACCCCAGCGGGCGCGCAGCCCGAUUGGCCAAUCGCCACUGAGACCCUGCUCUUGUCUUCGAUUGGUCUUCGCGCUGACGUGCCCUCCCGAAUCCUCGCUGGGAUUGGCCUAUUUCUUGGUUCUGACCUGGACGGUGGCCAGAGGAGGACAAGAGCCUUCUGUACAGGAUGGAGGGACGAUUUGGGUGACAUCUGAGACAUAGACGCUCGUCAACAAGCGACCGGGCUCCAGGGACAUGGCGGCGGCCUCUGCAGUGUCGGUGCUGCUGGUGGCAACUGAGAGGACGCAGUGGCAGAGUGUCCCCAGCCUGCUGCUAUAGCCGCUGGGCGGCGUAGGGCUGGGAUCCCCUCAUUCCUUGGCGGCAAGGGACCGUCACUACCGAGAUAUUCCUGGUGACUUUUAAUGGUCACACUCAGGUGUGAGACCAGCCUGAUCCACAUCUCCACCUCUCCUACCAGUCUCAAGGUGGCUGCUUCUCUAUGUCCUUAGUUAUAGAGCUUCGGUUCAGUUAGACUGCAGGUGAUUCUCAAUGAUGGUUGUUCUGUCGAUUAGUUGUAAUUUUAAUGUGGUCAUGACCGGAGGAAUUGAACCUAAAGUAGAGCUUCCUCCCUCAUUCUACUGAGGUCUCUGCUCCGUUGUCACCAACUUGGGGAGUCCUUCCCUGGUUCUCCUGUACAUUUUUCAUUCCUCAUAUCAGGGGAUAAAAUUCAAAUCUUAAAUUUAAAAAGAAGCUCCUUUGAAGUCAUCUAGUCUAAUCCCCUCCCAGGUUGUCAGACUGCACACCACACUGACGUCUUACUCGGCCUGUCAGACCACCCAGAGUUUGAGGCUGGAAAUGAGCACACAAGAAUUGUUCAGUCACAAUGGUCAAAGUCCCCUCAAAGGGCCUCAGCCAGAGAAAUUUUCUGCCAGGCAUCCCUGGGUCUCAUUCUCAAGGAGGAAGCUGGGACCAGUGCUUUCAAAGUUCAGACAUGACACAAGAUGCUUGCUUUUGGAUGAAGCAGAUAAAUAUGUUGAGCCAAGGGAUGAAGGAUCAAAUCCAUGAGAUUUACCAGAAAGGAAAUGCAAGUAUUCAGGCUGUGUUGCUUUCUGCCUCAAUGCCAAUCGAUCUGUUGCAAGUCAUCAAAAAGUUCAUGAGAGAUCCAUUUCAAAUUCUGGUGAAGAAGGAGGAAUUGACCUUCGAAAAGGUCAACAUUUUAUAAUAAUUUUGAAAGAGGGAUCUAGUUACAAUGUAGCUGUGAAGUGCUACAUUGUCUUUGCUCCCUGCACAAAAUAAAACUGUUUCCUUUCUAGCCCUGUCGCCCAUGGUACCAUAGCUGUCGGGGAUGCAUGGUCUCACACAUGUUUACCAAUUUAAAUGCUGACUUGAUGGGUGACUCAUGAGCAUUAAGUCUUGUUAAUAUUUCACAGAAUUGGCAGUGGGAAGAGAACAGGGGUGGACAGCUAUGGCCAUUGCAUUGAAGAGGACAAGAGGAUUCUUCCUGACACUGGGACUUCCUGCCACUCUGCAGUGGCGGAAAUUUCAAUGAAUGUGGCUGACCUGAUUCCUGGGAUGCAACAAUUUUGAAUGCAGUGUUCACUGUUGCUGAGCAGGAAACCACCACAUGUACUCAGCUUCUUUCUUUGGGAAUUUGAAUCUUGUCUCAAUGCUCAUGAUGGAUCAGAAAUACUGAUUUUGAUAGCAAAGCGAUUUUAGUUAUGAGCUCCAGUGAGGAAAGUCAUUGGCUUUAUCCUCUUUCGAGUUAGACUGUUGGGGUUGGGUAUGAAAGAUGAGGUUAUAGAAUCUUUCUUCGAUAUUUAUUUUAUAGUUCUGUAAAAAUGAUUAUAUUGAGUGUUUACUAUCGUGUAAUAAUAUACUUGUGGACUGAAAGAUAAGUGCUGUAUAAAAAAGCCAAUUAUAUUCAGCUAGUAAAUCUGACUUUAUUGUGUUAAUCAUUAGAUUGAAUAGAAUAAACUUUAAAAUGAUUUUUUAAAGAAAAUAUUUUAAUUCAUUUUAAUAAUGCUGUAUUUUUAUUCAGUAAAGCAUUCUAUUAGUGGUAAAUGUGAACUGGAGCCUUUUGCUAAGCGCCAAUCAUAUCCUAGGGUUAAACCCCAGAAAA